rnacentral:rRNA from 1 species
GUGGAUUAGAUACCCUGGUAGUCCACGCUGUAAACGAUGACGAGUAGGUGUGGGGUGGUUCAGUCCAUUCCGUGCCGCAGCUAACGCAUUAAGUCGUCCGCCUGGGGAGUACGGCCGCAAGGUUGAAACUCAAAGGAAUUGACGGGGGCCCGCACAAGCGGUGGAGCAUGUGGUUCAAUUCGAUGCAGAGCGAAGAACCUUACCUGGGCUUGACAUGUAGGAAGUAGAAACCCGAAAGGGUGACGACCUGUUGAGUCAGGAGCCUACACAGGUGGUGCACGGCCGUCGUCAGCU